GACGAACCGUCCAAACGUUAUUCGGAAUCACUGGGCUUAAAGGGUGCGUAGGCGGUCCUGUAAGUUGGGUGUGAAAUACCUCGGCCUAACCGAGGAAUGGCGCCCAAAACUGUAGGACUCGAGCAAGGCAGAGGUGAACGGAACUUAGGGUGGAGCGGUGAAAUGCGUUGAUAUCCUAAGGAACACCAGUAGCGAAAGCGGUUCACUGGGCCUUUUCUGACGCUGAUGCACGAAAGCCAGGGGAGCGAACGGG
rnacentral:rRNA from 1 species